UUAUAGCGCACACCGCAACCCGACUUGAGCGGAGCUCUUUUUGCGGAGCGGAGCGGAGCAAAAAAGCGGGAGCGGAAGGCCGAAAUGUUG
rnacentral:misc_RNA from 1 species